rfam:Helianthus annuus linkage group 12, whole genome shotgun sequence.
GUCCCUUCGGGGACAUCCGAUAAAAUUGGAACGAUACAGACUGCGCAAGGAUGACACGCACAAAUUGAGAAAUGGUCCAAAUUUUU